UACGUAGGGGGCAAGCGUUGUCCGGAUUUAUUGGGCGUAAAGAGCGUGUAGGCGGCCUGGCAGGUCAGCUGUGAAAACUCGAGGCUCAACCUCGAGACGUCGGUUGAAACCACCUGGCUAGAGUCCGGAAGAGGAGAGUGGAAUUCCCGGUGUAGCGGUGAAAUGCGCAGAUAUCAGGAGGAACACCGGUGGCGAAGGCGGGUCUCUGGGCAGUAACUGACGCUGAGGAGCGAAAGCGUGGGGAGCGAACAGG
rnacentral:rRNA from 1 species